UACGUAGGGUGCAAGCGUUGUCCGGAAUUAUUGGGCGUAAAGAGCGUGUAGGCGGCUCGGCAAGUCCGCUGUGAAAGUCCAGGGCUCAACCCUGGAAUGCCGGUGGAUACUGUCGAGCUAGAGUCCGGAAGGGGCGAGUGGAAUUCCUGGUGUAGCGGUGAAAUGCGCAGAUAUCAGGAGGAACACCAAUGGCGAAGGCAGCUCGCUGGGACGUGACUGACGCUGAGACGCGAAAGCGUGGGGAGCAAACAGG
rnacentral:rRNA from 1 species